rnacentral:rRNA from 1 species
CCUACGGGAGGCUGCAGUAGGGAAUCUUCCACAAUGGACGAAAGCCUGAUGGAGCAACGCCGCGUGGGUGAAGAAGGGCUUCGGCUCGUAAAGCUCUGUUGGUAGAGAAGAAAGAUAGUGGUAGUAACUGUCCUCGAUUUGACGGUAAUUACUUAGAAAGUCACGGCUAACUACGUGCCAGCAGCCGCGGUAAUACGUAGGUGGCAAGCGUUGUCCGGAUUUAUUGGGCGUAAGGCGAGUGCAGGCGGUUCAAUAAGUCUGAUGUGAAAGCCUUCGGCUUAACCGGAGAAUUGCAUCAGAAACUGGUGAACUUGAGUGCAGAAGAGGAGAGUGGAACUCCAUGUGUAGCGGUGGAAUGCGUAGAUAUAUGGAAGAACACCAGUGGCGAAGGCGGCUCUCUGGUCUGCAACUGACGCUGAGGUUCGAAAGCAUGGGUAGCGAACAGGAUUAGAUACCCGGGUAGUC